AUUGAACGCUGGCGGCAGGCCUAACACAUGCAAGUCGAGCGGAUGAAGGGUGCUUGCUCCUGGAUUCAGCGGCGGACGGGUGAGUAAUGCCUAGCAAUCUGCCUGCUAGUGGGGGAUAACGUCCGGAAACGGGCGCUAAUACCUCAUACGACUUCUGGUAGCACGUGGGGGAUCUUCGGCACUUACGCUUUCAGAUGAGCCUAGGUCGGAUUAGCUAGUUGGUGGGGUACAGGCCUACCAAGGCGGCGAUCCGUAACUGGUCUGAGAGGAUGAUCAGUCACCCGGGAAAUAGGACGCGGGCCCGCAUCCUGCGGGAGGCAGCAGUGGGGAAUAUUCGACAGAGGGCGGAGGCCUGAACCAGCCAUGGCGCGUAAGUGAAGAAGGUCUUCGGAUUGUAAAGCACUUUGAGUUGGGAGGAAGAGCAGUAAGUUAAUACCGUGCUGUUUUGACGUUACCAACAGAAUAAGCACCGGCUAACUUCGUG
rnacentral:rRNA from 1 species